rnacentral:misc_RNA from 1 species
UGCCCCUCACUUGCCAAUACGUCUAGAUCAGCCAGGGCGUCGGCAUGUGUAGCGUAUUAUGUUAGGCUCUCUCGAGAUAAGGAUACGAUGUCCCUUUAUCGGUUGGUUUCCUGUGUGCGGCCCGUUCGUUUUGUUGUAUGCUGCUUGAUCCUUAGGCCAAGCCCCCUCGCGUGACGACCACGCUGGCCACCCGACAUAAUGCCCCUCACUUGCCAAUACGUCUAGAUCAGCCAGGGCGUCGGCAUGUGUAGCGUAUUAUGUUGGGCUCUCUCGAGAUAAGGAUACGAUGUCCCUUUAUCGGUUGGUUUCCUGUGUGCGCGGCCCGUUCGUUUUUUUGUUACUUCGCAUCGUUCGGUGCAUUCUGGGGGCUGUGUUGGCUUUUGGUGGCUUGCUUGGCCUUUUGGCUUUGCUUGUUGCUACUUGUCGGGCUGCUUUCGGGAAUGUCGACCGUGGAGGUGCAUGAGUGGUGUUUGGUUUGUUAUGUGUGGAUGGCUGUUUGCUUGUGCAACAACGUUCACGCUGCAUACCUCCUCAGUUUUGCGGCAAGGCUUGGUUUGGCUUGUGCAUAUUGUGGGUUUCCUGUGUUGCAUACCUAGUUGAUGGAAAAGUGUGGGUUUUACGAUUUUCAUUUUCGUCUUGCGUCGUUCUUUCGGCGUGGGAUGAACAAUGAAGCGAUCUUUAUGAUCCAUCGUGCUGUUGCGUUUGCAACAAUGAUGUGGCCUAUGAAGCAUCGUUUGGUCUCUUGUAUACGGAAGCUCAUUUGGGCUUGGGUCUUUAUAAGAUCUUCGUUACGCCCUUGUUAAGCGUUCUCGCUUCUCCUAAACGAUUG